UACGGGGGGAGCAAGCGUUGUUCGGAUUUACUGGGCGUAAAGGGCGCGUAGGCGGCCACGACAAGUCACUUGUGAAAUCUCCGGGCUUAACUCGGAACGGUCAAGUGAUACUGUCGGGCUAGAGUGCAGAAGGGGCAACUGGAAUUCUCGGUGUAGCGGUGAAAUGCGUAGAUAUCGAGAGGAACACCUGCGGCGAAGGCGGGUUGCUGGGCUGAUACUGACGCUGAGGCGCGAAAGCCAGGGGAGCGAACGGG
rnacentral:rRNA from 1 species